UACGUAGGGUCCGAGCGUUGUCCGGAAUUAUUGGGCGUAAAGAGCUCGUAGGCGGUUUGUCGCGUCUGCUGUGAAAUCCCAGGGCUCAACCCUGGAACUGCGCCCGAUACUGCAGUGCUUGAGGGAGACAGAGGUAAGCGGAACUGAUGGUGGAGCGGUGAAAUGCGUUGAUAUCAUCAGGAACACCGGUGGCGAAAGCGGCUUACUGGGUCUCUUCUGACGCUGAGAAACGAAAGCUAGGGGAGCGAAGGGG
rnacentral:rRNA from 1 species